GACGAACCGUCCAAACGUUGUUCGGUAUCACUGGGCUUAAAGAGUUCGUAGGCGGCCUAAUAGGUCAGGUGUGAAAUCCCUCGGCUCAACCGAGGAAUUGCGCUUGAUACCACUAGGCUUGAGGGAGAUAGAGGUGGGCGGAACAGAUGGUGGAGCGGUGAAAUGCGUUGAUAUCAUCUGGAACACCGGUGGCGAAAGCGGCCCACUGGAUCUCUUCUGACGCUGAGGAACGAAAGCUAGGGUAGCGAACGGG
rnacentral:rRNA from 1 species